rnacentral:misc_RNA from 1 species
AAGUCGUAACAAGGUUUCCGUAGGUGAACCUGCGGAAGGAUCAUUCACGAAGAAGAAUUUCUUCUUUUUAUUUGUGCACUGUUACCUGCUAUUUGGCGGCUUCACCGUCGUCAGAUGGCAUCAUUUUUUAUCAACUUAACUCUUACUUUUACAUGCCCGAUAAGUUAUACAUAACUUUUAGCAAUGGAUCUCUAGGCUCUC